ACAUUAUUAUUCAUAUUAAUACAGAUUUGAAUACUGCAGGACCCAGUGAUCUGGUUUAUGCACAGAUUGAUUUACAGGACAGAAAGAAGACCAAGGGCAAAGGGAAGAGCAGUGAGUCUGGAGACACUUUGUACUCUGAACUGAAGCACAACACAGACAGAGAAGCUGAUGCUGGUGAUGAAACUUGUGCUCAACCUUUGAGGAAGAAGAAUAAAACACGUCUCCGAGUCCAGUGAAGACAACAGACGGCUAAAAGAGAUUCACAGCAGCAGACACAGUGACGCUUGCAUUGCUUCAGAAAUGAAUCUGAGUGAACUGCUUACACACGUGCUUGAUUCAGUUACUUUAGAGAUACAUAUGCACUGUUAUCUCUAAACAUAUUACAUAAGCAAAACAAAUGUCUCUCUAGUAUAUUCAAUAGUUAGAUCGCCAGAUAAUUAAGAUCCAGCCCCACAUGGCAGAUCUCAUCAGAAAAUAUUAGUUUUGUCUGGUAAUAGAACAACUCUUCAGCAAAGUAGUCUAUAACCCAAAACCUGUUCACAGAAGUCUGGUCUGGUGCCCAAAAUACCCAAAACUGUAUUACCAGUCUUCUAUCAGAGAAGAAGCUGACUGAGGAAAAACCCAGAGAAGAGCAGAAGCAGCAGACGAAGUGAUGAUAAAAGGAUAAGAGUUUAAUGAAGAAUCUUAGUUGUGUAUGAUUUAAUGCUCAGACUUCAUCUGACCAGAACAAAUUCAAGAAGUUCUGUUACACCAAACUGAUCCACAACAACAUCCCAUAAACCUUGAGUUUCCUUUCCCUCGGAUCUCUGAUUCAUGAAGACAAACAGCCCUUAAAACCCACAGUCAUAAGAAUAAACACCAGAAGAACAAUAUUAUAAAAACUACAAU